rnacentral:rRNA from 1 species
GACGAACGCUGGCGGCGUGCCUAACACAUGCAAGUCGAGCGAUGAAGCUCCCUCGGGAGUGGAUUAGCGGCGGACGGGUGAGUAACACGUGGGUAACCUGCCUCAUAGAGAGGGAUAGCCUUCCGAAAGGAAGAUUAAUACCUCAUAAGAUUGUAGUUUCGCAUGAAACGGCAAUAAAAGGAGCAAUCCGCUAUGAGAUGGACCCACGUCGCAUUAGCUAGUUGGUAAGGUAAUGGCUUACCAAGGCGACGAUGCGUAGCCGACCUGAGAGGGUGAUCGGCCACAUUGGGACUGAGACACGGCCCAGACUCCUACGGGAGGCAGCAGUGGGGAAUAUUGCACAAUGGGGGAAACCCUGAUGCAGCAACGCCGCGUGAGUGAUGACGGUCUUCGGAUUGUAAAACUCUGUCUUUGGGGACGAUAAUGACGGUACCCAAGGAGGAAGCCACGGCUAACUACGUGCCAGCAGCCGCCGUAAUAC